GGGGAUAGGAGGGCUCAGGGUCUCGGGAACUCCCAGCAGCACCCUCAGGCCUCUCCCCCGUCUGCCCGCAGGACGCUGACUUGGCUCGUUUGCUGAGCUCCGGCUCCUUCGGAAACCUGGAGAACCUCAGUUUGGCCUUCACCAAUGUAACCAGUGCCUGCGCCGAGCACCUCAUCAAACUGCCUUCGCUCAAGCAGCUGAACCUGUGGUCCACUCAGCCAUGAAGAGUCUCUGCAGUUUAAACAUGAACAGCACCAAGCUCUCAGCUGACACCUACGAAGAUCUGAAGGCCAAGCUUCCCAAUUUGAAGGAAGUGGACGUCCGCUACACCGAAGCCUGGUGAAGCUCCCAGCUCAAGGCAGGAAGACGUUUGCAACCGCGACAAAAUAACUCUUGACUAACAGCCGCAGAGCAGCCGGUCCUGGGGUCCCACCCUGGUGCCCUGGCUGUGAGAUAGAUGGGGAGUCUUUCUGGGGGCGGAGGGGGGAGGGGGUGGGGAGGGGGCCCACAAGCACGCCCAGCCCCCGCCGAAUUCUUUUAGCUUCGUAAUUGGAACCUUUGACCUGAUCUAAAGUGGACUUUGUAGCAACAAGAGGAGCAUCAGCGGGUCGGGGAGGGGUUUGGGGGUGGGCUGGGGGGUGGGGGACCCUUUGUGGAUUUUCUUUGCCUUUGUGUUUGAUGCCGUCGUGUGGGAAAAGUCAACUCCGAUGCCACCAUUGCGGGCCGGACGAAGGAUGCUUUCUUCCUAGAGGCUCCGAGCUGAGCUGCGAACUCGCCCCCCGCCCUUGGGACAAGAAGACCCAGUCACAUCACUGCACCCGUCCUGUGUCCUCACCAUUGCUAUGCAAAGUGAUUCUUGUUGUACAUAAGAUUUAAAUAAUGCACCUAUUUAAGACAUGUUGACAAAUUGCGGGUCUGGGACCCGCCUCUUAUUUAUGAAGUCUUUGACCGUCCCCCCCGCCCGACCCCACCGCCCUCCCGCCCCCACCUGGCGUGUAGUACUGUAUAAACCAGUCAGCUGUCGGGUUAGUGGUAGUAUUAUUGUUAUUUUUUUAAAGGAAACAAAC
rnacentral:lncRNA from 1 species